UUGGAGGGCAAGUCUGGUGCCAGCAGCCGCGGUAAUUCCAGCUCCAAUAGCGUAUAUUAAAGUUGUUGCAGUUAAAAAGCUCGUAGUUGAAUUUCGGGAUCAAUAUACCGGUCGUGCCUCAGGUAUGAACUGGUCUUAUUGGUUUCUCCCUUCUGACGAACCAUGAUGUCAUUAAUUUGAUGUCGUGGAGAAUCAGGACUGUUACUUUGAAAAAAUUAGAGUGUUUAAAGCAGGCUAACGCUUGAAUACAUUAGCAUGGAAUAAUGAAAUAGGACGUUCGAUCCUAUUUUGUUGGUUUCUAGGAUCGACGUAAUGAUUAAUAGGGAUAGUUGGGGGCAUUAGUAUUCAAUUGUCAGAGGUGAAAUUCUUGGAUUUAUUGAAGACUAACUACUGCGAAAGCAUUUGCCAAGGAUGUUUUCAUUAAUCAAGAACGAAAGUUAGGGGAUCGAAGACGAUCAGAUACCGUCGUAGUCUUAACCAUAAACUAUGCCGACUAGGGAUCGGAUGACGUUAAUUUUUUAAUGACUCAUUCGGCGCCUUACGGGAAAC
rnacentral:rRNA from 1 species